UGGGGAAUAUUGGACAAUGGGCGCAAGCCUGAUCCAGCAAUACCGCGUGGGUGAUGAAGGUCUUCGGAUUGUAAAGCCCUUUUAGUGAGGAAGAUAGUGACGGUACUCACAGAAAAAGCACCGGCAAACUUCGUGCCAGCAGCCGCGGUAAUACGAAGGGUGCUAGCGUUGUUCGGAAUUACUGGGCGUAAAGCGGGUGUAGGCGGACUUAUAAGUCAGGUGUGAAAUCCCAGGGCUCAACCCUGGAAGUGCACUUGAUACUGCAAGUCUUGAGUGUGGUAGAGGCUAUUAGAAUUCCUGGUGUAGUGGUGAAAUACGUAGAUAUCAGGAGGAAUACCGGAGGCGAAGGCGGAUAGCUGGGCCAACACUGACGCUGAGACCCGAAAGCGUGGGGAUCAAACAGGAUUAGAUACCCAGGUAGUCCCUGAGCGGGCUGGCAAGGCGCAU
rnacentral:rRNA from 1 species